rnacentral:lncRNA from 12 species
GAAAGGAAGAGUUGGCUGGGUGGAGGAGAGUUCAAAUCAUAUGUAGCAGGUGUCUCCAGAGGCUGGCAACUGCCCAGUCAUUGUCCAGGCAUUCAUUCACUUGUUCAUUCAUCCAUUCAUGUACAUUUAUUCUUUUGUUUAACCAUUAAACAAGAAUUUCUUGAGCACCUACUACAUGCCAGACGUACUGGGGUUGCUAAGCACAGUUUGUGGACCUUUGAAAACUCAAUUGCACCUCUUACUGUUCUCAUAUUACUGACUUUCCUGGAGUCCAGGCAGUAAACUGAGGCUUGGAGAAGUCGGAGCGCUAGACCGAAGCCCCAGGAAGGCGCCGAUCCUGAGGACUGCAAAGCCCCAAAACAACUGGAGCGCAA